rnacentral:rRNA from 1 species
CUUGGUCAUUUAGAGGAAGUAAAAGUUGUAACAAGGUUUCCGUAGGUGAACCUGCGGAAGGAUCAUUAACAAAUCCUGCUGCAGUGCCGCAAGGUGCUGUAGUAAAUUAACUCGGCCUGUGUCGCAAGAUGCAGGCUGAUUAUAUAUAUCUAUAUAUAUGUGUGUAAUGUUGACAAUGUGUGUGUGAAUAAUUAGUAGACAACUUUUAACAAUGGAUCUCUAGGCUCUUGCAGCGAUGAAGAACACAGCAAAGUGUGAAAAGUGAUGCGAUUUGCACGAAUCUGUGAGUCAUCUAGUUUUUGAACGCAAUUGGCACUCUUGUGUAAGCAAGAGUAUGUCUGUUUGAGAAUCCCAAAACCGAUCAACACCUGUGGGGGUUGGCAUUGGCGGUCCGUGCAGUACUGUGCGGUUUGCUUAAAGAUAUUCAGGUUGAUGGGCUCCCAGCUGAGCUCCAAAUGUGCUAAAAGACUGUGGUCUUUCGUCAUUUGGGUGCGCAGUUGCACGGCUCUAGUAAACAACCUAUAAUCAUUUAUCAAUUAGGAUCUCAAAUCAGGCAAGAUUACCCGCUGAACUUAAGCAUAUCAAUAAGCGGAGGA